rnacentral:rRNA from 1 species
GACGAACGCUGGCGGCGUGCUUAACACAUGCAAGUCGAACGGAAAGGCCCUGCUUGCAGGGUACUCGAGUGGCGAACGGGUGAGUAACACGUGGGUGAUCUGCCCUGCACUUCGGGAUAAGCCUGGGAAACUGGGUCUAAUACCGGAUAGGAGCCAUUUUUAGUGUGAUGGUUGGAAAGUUUUUUCGGUGUAGGGUGAGCUCGCGGCCUAUCAGCUUGUUGGUGGGGUAAUGGCCUACCAAGGCGGCGACGGGUAGCCGGCCUGAGAGGGUGGACGGCCACAUUGGGACUGAGAUACGGCCCAGACUCCUACGGGAGGCAGCAGUGGGGAAUAUUGCACAAUGGGCGCAAGCCUGAUGCAGCGACGCCGCGUGGGGGAUGACGGCCUUCGGGUUGUAAACUCCUUUCGCUAGGGACGAAGCUUUUUGUGACGGUACCUAGAUAAGAAGCACCGGCUAACUACGUG